ensembl:lncRNA
UGCUUGACCACUUGCUCUGCAAGUUCUGCGAGAAGGCUGCAUUUGUUUCAGACCUGCCAGAGUGUCUGGGACAGCAGUCCUACAAACAACUCCUUGUUUUCCCGUUUCCUUGACCCUAUUGCCAGGCCAAGGCAAAGGGUCUGCCAUGGGCGGCUGCAUGUAAUUUCAUAGGCUGUGCAUCUGAAGUUGACCUCUGCUAUCUGUUUCCUUGUCAUCUCAAACAAGGGAUAAUGCUCUCCUGGGAACAGUUUCACCUCGAAGAGACAGGCAGCUCCUCAAAACAAUAUGGUUAAUCUUCAAGAAUUUGUCUGCCAGCUGUCUUCCAGGAAGCAGAAUCAAGGAAUGGCCUGGUUAUCAAGGGUGGCUGGCUGGAGACCUCCUCUGCCUUCUCCUCUACCAUUGUCACUCUUGCUAUGAUUUACUUAAGGUAUGUUCUGAACCAGUGGAACAAAUGUUCUGUGCUCUCAAAGGCAAAAACUGCCUUGGAAACCAAAGUCAAACCCAAAGAAGGGAAGUGAUGGCCACUCAUUUUGUUACAAACCUCCACCUCAUUUCUGGAGUCCUGUCUGAGAUUUUCAAAUAUAUGUUUAUCUCCUGAUAAACUCAGUGGUACAUGCGUUCCCAAAUACACUGGAACACAUUCAGUGGAGCAAAAUGCUGCUCAGGGAGAACAGAAUCUGCUCGAGGCGUGUCUGAAGGGGAAAUGGCAGGAGUGAUGGUGAGACUGAG